AAUUUGCCGGCAUGGAGAGCACUGAGGCAAGAGCAGGACGAGGAAUUCAAUCAAUCUUUGUCCAUUGAUCAAGAGAGGGAGAGGAGACGGAGGGAAAUGAUAACUCAAGAGCAGCGUCGGAGAAAGGCCAUAGAAGAUAAAGUGGACCUUAUCAACAGUGUCGAGGAACCAGUAGAUGGCGUCGAACUCCACUGCAAAUUUC